rnacentral:rRNA from 1 species
AGGGUUUGAUCCUGGCUCAGAUUGAACGCUGGCGGCAGGCUUCAGACAUGCAAGUCGAGCGGAAACAGGCCGCUGUGAUCCCUUCGGGGUGAACUUGGUGCUGUCGAGCGGCGGACGGGUGAGUAACGCGUAGGAAUCUGCCCAGUAGAGGGGGAUAGCCCGAGGAAACUCGGAUUAAUACCGCAUACGCCCUACGGGGGAAAGCAGGGGAUCUUCGGACCUUGCACUAUUGGAUGGGCCUGCGUUGGAUUAGCUUGUUGGUAGGGUAAAGGCCUACCAAGGCGACGAUCCAUAGCUGGUUUGAGAGGAUGAUCAGCCACACUGGAACUGAGACACGGUCCAGACUCCUACGGGAGGCAGCAGUCGGGAAUAUUGGACAAUGGGCGCAAGCCUGAUCCAGCCAUGCCGCGUGUGUGAAGAAGGCCUUCGGGUUGUAAAGCACUUUCAGUAGGGAGGAAGGCUAGCCGUCUAAUAGGCGGUUAGAUUGACGUUACCUACAGAAGCAGCACCGGCUAACUCCGUGCCAGCAGCCGCGGUAAUACGGAGGGUGCAAGCGUUAAUCGGAAUUACUGGGCGUAAAGCGCGCGUAGGCGG